rnacentral:lncRNA from 1 species
UUGAAGGCUCUUGUCAAACACAACCAUUGUCCUAUUCAAAACUAGUAUGUGUUUCCUUUCAAAUUUCCCAUCAAAGCUUUUUCCUUCACGAUAUCUUCCACAUAUGAAUACCAAUAUCUGGUGAAUGUGAUAUGCAAUGAAUCGUGAUAAGCAUGUAACUGAUCUGCUCUGGUGUUUUGAAUUUAUUGACAAUGGAGACAAGUUAACUCUGUGGAAAAGUUUCUUUAAACUUUUGCUGAGCAAUUCAUCAAACGUUUCACAUUGAAUUUCAGGCACACUUGAAAUAGAAAGAUUUAGAAUUGAACCUAGAAAAGUACUGCAUCAAUGAUACAUAAGGAAUUAGUUUUGUAUUUACCUCCUGCCACCCC